AGUCAAGUGGGCAUGAUGACUGCAACCAGACCUGAAAAGCUACAUGGAUGGUUGUCUCUCCUCUUGUCCCAUUUUUGUGUCCUCACUACCACCAAAUCAUAUGACUGGUAUCACCAAAGAAUCCUAUCAUGAGCUAGGCCUUGGCAUAUUUAACUGUCUUCACCUCAUCACCUUCAAGUGAAACACCCAUAAAAGAAAAGAGAUGAAGUAACCAAAGCUUGUGAUUUUUUGGAGGCCAAGAAUGGUUGAUCAGGUUAUGGUGUUGAAGAACUACAAUCAAACGUAAGCUAUGAUGAAAGCUAGCUUGAAGCCAACAGGAAUGAGGUAGUGAAGGUUCAACCUCAUCGCCCAAGAAUAAAGAAAAAAGCCCUCCAUUGACUGGUAUAAAUACACGUUUGUGAGGAGGAGCAAAGAGACAGGGAGAAAAUUCUGUGAAGCUAAAGAUAGGAGCCCUCCUUUUUUGUUUCAUCUAGUGGUCUGUAGCUUUCCGACACUCUGGACCACAACAUAAGUUUGGAUCAAUACUUUCUCUCAAGGCUUGGCAUUGCUGGGACUACAACAAGAAAUGAAAGAAAAAGCUUCAGCAGGGGCAUGGCUAAGUGUUAGAAACACUGGCUCUCAAUUCAAUGUGUGUCCUAAAAAGCAUUAGUUCAUGACCCAUACACACUAUGGCCGGUCUUAUGAGUGCAUCAAAGGUUAAGGAUAUUUCAUAGUAGAGUAUGAAAUCUGAAAGAGUAUUGUGGUGGAAUGUAUUUAAUCAUCUUCAACCAGGUUGAUGAUGCAUUUUGAUGUCAACAGGUAAACUAUACUAAACUAUUCUCAUCAGUUUGAGCAUGCUAGGUGGUUAGCUACCUCAUCCUUGUCUAUAUCACAUCUAAGCAACAAUAUCAAAUUCAAAGAAGAAUUAUUUAAUGUGGACUGUAGGAGUUCUGUUGUUCAAUCCUGAAAAAGACUCUUGUUGGAAAGAAUACCAAUACAAAUUGUUCUCUCCCAUUUGAUCUUUUGGAAGGUCCACUGUCUACUGCCCAUAUUUAAUGUAAAGAAACUUGGAGCUGGAAUGUGACACAGAAAGGUAUGGCUAGUUCUAAGAACCUACCAGGGAAGGUAUGAACUCUGCAGGUUGGUUUGUCUGUGUGGUGGGGAAGAUAAAUAAAUCAUGCUUUUGGUCUUUUAUUUCUCUAGCUUUCUGAUAGAUUAACUGAUAGUGACUUCAUUCUGGGGUUGGAAAUUCUGAAAUCUACCUGUGGGAUGUUUCAUUCUUCAUUGAGAUGUGGAUGAUGCAGAUAUGAGCAGCAAAUCACAUGAUGCAGGGAGAAACAGAGUGUGUCAUGCAGGCUUGUUUUGAGUGCAAAAAGGCUGGACAAACAUCAAGGUUGUUCUUUUAUGAUGGCAAGUAAAUCUAUGAAAAGAGAUGAUCAUAGUUCACCACCCACUUCUUCUCUUCUUCACCAGAACUCUGAGCAGGAUCUAUUAUUGCCAUCGUUUGGAUUUGACGGUGUGAUCUACAACUAGAUCUACAUCUCGGCAGCCAUGGAAAGCCAGAUGCCCUUUCCGCAAGAAGGUAGCACCAACCAAAUGCAACACACUGCUGUGGCUGAGGCUGAGGGGUUCCCCUGUCUCACCUCAUGAUGCCGGUUCCCGAGCUCCACCUGCAGCCUCCUAAUGAUGUUAUCUCCCACGAACACCAUGUUGUCAUAUUGCUGCCAUCAAUGGGAUUGCCAGUCGAAGGGCCCCAUCGGUCUAUCCACCAACGAUACAAUCCGUGCACCUAUAAUAGCAGAGCAACCUGGUCUUCUGGCCUUUCUAAGA